rnacentral:rRNA from 1 species
CCUACGGGAUGCAGCAGGCGCGAAAACUUUACCAUGCGGGCAACCGUGAUAAGGAAACCCCGAGUGCCAGCAUAGGCUGGCUGUCCGCCAGUUUAAAAAACUGGUGAAGAAAGGGCCGGGCAAGACCGGUGCCAGCCGCCGCGGUAAUACCGGCGGCUCGAGUGGUGGCCACUAUUACUGGGCUUAAAGGGUCCGUAGCUUGAUAUGCAAGUCUUUUGAGAAAUCCGCCAGCUUAACUGGCGGGCGUUCAGGGGAAACUGCAUUUCUUGGGACCGGGAGAGGUGAGAGGUACUGCCGGGGUAGGAGUGAAAUCCUGUAAUCCCGGUGGGACCACCUAUAGCGAAGGCAUCUCACCAGAACGGGUCCGACAGUGAGGGACGAAAGCUGGGGGAGCAAACCGGAUUAGAUACCCUAGUAGUCC